AUUGAACGCUGGCGGCAUGCUUUACACAUGCAAGUCGAACGGUAACAGGCCUUCGGGUGCUGACGAGUGGCGACCGGGGGAGUAAUGCAUCGGAACGUGCCCAGAGGUGGGGGAUAACGCAGCGAAAGCUGUGCUAAUACCGCAUGUGAUCUGAUGAUGAAAGCGGGGGACCAGGCAGCAAUGUUUGGCCUCGCGCCUUUGGAUCAGCCGAUGUCGGAUUAGGUAGUUGGUGGGGUAAAGGCCUACCAAGCCGACGAUCUGUAGCUGGUCUGAGAGGACGACCAGCCACACUGGGACUGAGACACGGUCCAGACUCCUACGGGAGGCAGCAGUGGGGAAUUUUGGACAAUGGGCGCAAGCCUGAUCCAGCAAUGCCGCGUGCGGGAAGAAGGCCUUCGGGUUGUAAACCGCUUUUGUACGGAAAGAAAAGGCUCUGGCUAAUACCUGGGGCUGAUGACGGUACCGUAAGAAUAAGCACCGGCUAACUACGUG
rnacentral:rRNA from 1 species